rnacentral:lncRNA from 1 species
CCCAAAGAAGUUAUAUACAUAAAAAAAACUAGAUACUAAUGGCUUUUUUGCGAAAUUGAGAGCAAUUUCAAAUGUGUUCAGUUUUUUUUUUAUACACCCUGUAGUGUAGUGUAGUGUAGUGUGGUGUGGUGUGGUGUGGUGUGGUGUGGUGUGGUGUGGUGUAGUGUGGUGUCGUGUAGUGUCGUGUAGUGUAGUGUAGUGUAGUGUAGUGUAGUGUAGUGUAGUGUAGUGUAGUGUAGUGUAGUGUAGUGUAGUGUAGUGUAGUG